UUUCCGUAGGUGAACCUGCGGAAGGAUCAUUACUGAGUGAGGGCCCCUCGGGGUCCCACCUCCCACCCGUGUUUAACGAACCGUGUUGCUUCGGCUGGCCCGCCUCACGGCCGCCGGGGGGCAUCUGCCCCCGGGCCCGCGCCCGCCGAAGCCACCUGUGAACGCUGUCUGAAGUAUGCAGUCUGAGACAAUUAUUAAAUUAAUUAAAACUUUCAACAACGGAUCUCUUGGUUCCG
rnacentral:misc_RNA from 1 species